rnacentral:rRNA from 1 species
GAGAUAUACAUUACCUAUAUAGGAGCGAACGAGGGGAAUUGAAACAUCUUAGUACCCUCAGGAAAAGAAAUCAAUAGAGAUUGCGUCAGUAGCGGCGAGCGAAAGCGCAAGAGGGCAAACCCAGUGCUUGCACUGGGGGUUGUAGGACUGCAAUGUGCAAGAGGUGAGUUUAGCAGAACAUUCUGGAAAGUAUAGCCAUAGAGGGUGAUAGUCCCGUAUGCGAAAAACAAACCUUAGCUAGCAGUAUCCUGAGUAGGGCGGGACACGAGAAAUCCUGUCUGAAGCUGGGUCGACCACGAUCCAACCCUAAAUACUAAUACCAGAUCGAUAGUGCACAAGUACCGUGAGGGAAAGGUGAAAAGAACUGAGGUGAUCAGAGUGAAAUAGAACCUGAAACCAUUUGCUUACAAUCAUUCAGAGCCCUAUGUAGCAAUACAGGGUGAUGGACUGCCUUUUGCAUAAUGAGCCUGCGAGUUGUGGUGUCUGGCAAGGUUAAGCAAACGCGAAGCCGUAGCGAAAGCGAGUCUGAAUAGGGCGCUUAGUCAGAUGCUGCAGACCCGAAACGAAGUGAUCUAUCCAUGAGCAAGUUGAAGCUAGUGUAAGAACUAGUGGAGGACUGAACCCAUAGGCGUUGAAAAGCCCCGGGAUGACUUGUGGAUAGGGGUGAAAGGCCAAUCAAACUUCGUGAUAGCUGGUUCUCUCCGAAAUAUAUUUAGGUAUAGCGUUGUGUCGUAAUAUAAGGGGGUAGAGCACUGAAUGGGCUAGGGCAUACACCAAUGUACCAAACCCUAUCAAACUCCGAAUACCUUAUAUGUAAUCACAGCAGUCAGGCGGCGAGUGAUAAAAUCCGUCGUCAAGAGGGAAACAACCCAGACUACCAGCUAAGGUCCCUAAAUCUUACUUAAGUGGAAAACGAUGUGAAGUUACUUAAACAACCAGGAGGUUGGCUUAGAAGCAGCCAUCCUUUAAAGAAAGCGUAAUAGCUCACUGGUCUAGUGAUUUUGCGCGGAAAAUAUAACGGGGCUAAAGU